rnacentral:rRNA from 1 species
GAUUAACGCUGGCGGCGUGCAUAACACAUGCAAGUCGAACGAAGUGGCGGACGGGUGAGAACGCGUGAGUAACCUGCCUUAGAGAAGGGGAUAGCCUUUGGAAACGAAGAAUAAUACCCUAUGGUCUAAGAUGGACUUGCGUCGGAUUAGUUAGUUGGUGGGGUAACGGCCCACCAAGACAGCGAGCAGUAGCCGGCUUGGGAGAGUGGACGGCAACUUUGGGAGUGGGACACGGCCCAGACUCUACGGGAGGCAGCAGUGGGGAAGUUUGCACAAUGGGGGAAACCCGGAGGCAGCGAGGCCGCGUGAUUUAGAAGGCCUUCGGGUUGUAAAAAUCUUUUCUAUGGGAAGCAGUACCAUAGGAAUAAGGACCGGCUAAGUACGUGCCAGCAGCCGCGGUAAUUC